GCUCGGCUGCCGGCUGCAGGAUCGCGGCUCCCGCAGGGCGCGCCCGGCCUGGCCCUGCGCGGGACUCGCCCGCCGAGGUCGGAUGCCGCCGAAGCUGGGACGCGCCUGCCAGGUACACCUCUGAUCCAGUGGAUAGCGACUCAGCUCUUCUGCCUGAGAGGGGAUCAAAAUUCAGUUCAAGAAUAACCAGAAGAGGAUCUGGGGAAGAUUUAACCUACUUAGGGGGAAAGGAUACAUGGUUGCCUGUGUCUCCUCUCUUGAAGAAGCUUAUGAAAGUAGCCCCAGUAGCCAGGACGCUCUGAGGAGAACCCCAUUGGGGAGAACAAUGGCUAAAAAUAGUAUUUGAGAGGAAAUAUCUGAGAGGAAAAUGAUGAAAAUGUUGACCAAAGAGUUUAAAGUGUCUUUGAAGAAAAAAGAAAAAUAAAAGGACAGCCAACUUUUUAAAACUACAUGCAAGUCACCUUCUGUACUUGCUGGAAAGGAAAAGGUAUUCACCCAAAGGUGUGGGCUUUCAGCCAUGACCUGAAAAGGGUACACCGGGAUGGCAGAGAAGAAUGAGCAGUGCCCAAAACUCUGGAGAGAUCACAAAAGGAACAGCUAGAAGCAGAGCCAUCACCAUGGGGUCAAAACCAGGCACGACUGCUUCCAGGGGACAGGUGUCAGAUGGGCUGCCAUUUCCGGGAUGGACGCAUUCAUGGGAACUGGAUGGUUCCACAAGGGACUGAAGCCAAAGGAAGCUGGUUUUAAAAUCUUACUACAAAUGUGUUUGUGAAGCCAGGCCUCAAGCCACCUGGCAGCAAGGUUCUUCUCUGGUGAAAGGAAGUGGAAGGCCCUUGGGGGCCUCCUUGCUUCUUACACUUCUGGCUGUCUCAUUUUGAUCUUCCCUUGGGUUGCUUCCAUUUCUCUUGUAGCUAAGGGCCUGUCACAUGCCAGGAACUCUGAGGAGCUCAGGAAUUAAUGAGACUGCUACCACCCCAGCAGUUCAUGGCCUAGUAAAGAAAGAGGUCUAAUAAAACCCAGAGCUGAGGAGGAAGACUUCUAGUUACACUUCAUAGAAGGAGUGGCUUGAGCAAAGCCUGCAAGAAUGUACCCAAUGCCUCGGAUGUGGCAGGCUAAAGGGCUUUUGAUAGGUAAAAGCAAGAGUGUCUGUCAUGUGCUGCACACCAAUGCUUUCCAUGGGUUAUUUUACUUAAGUUUACUUUAAUAAUUUAUUGAUUGAUUCUAUAUAUCAGAUUUUAGGGAUCUAACCAUGAUCAGUGGAGUCUCUUUCCUCAUGGAAGUUAAGAAUCAACUGAUACAGCAGGCAGGAUAUGCCCAUGUCCUAAUCCACAGAUGCUGUGAAUAUGUUCUGUCACAUGGCAAAGGAGAAUUAACGUUUGUGUUAGUCUGCUUUUCAUCAUUGUGACAAGAUACCUAAGAAAAUCAACUUACAGGAAGAAAGAUUGACUUUGGCUGAUGGUUUUAGAGGUGUCAGUCCAUGGUCACUUGGCUCCAUUGCGUCUGGGCCCACAGUGAGGUAGGAGCAUCUCCAUCUGGGGACCUUUGCGUGGUGUCCUGUUAGCGCUGACCACCCCACUUUGUCACCAGCAUUUGAGGCUCCUGGUAACUAUACCAUAAUUCUCAUGAGCCACAGAAGUGGAGUGCUGGGAUUUUAGAUGGUCCACAAGAGAAGGAACUUGAACUCUCGAAGCACCUGGCCACACAACUCCAGUCAGGGCCAUGUGGCCCAGAACCAUGCAGUAGUCUCUCCUAUGCCUUUGACCCUAACACACAGAGAGAGUGUGUCAGUCGAGGUGGGCUAGGGUUGCCUAUGAUAACAAAAUCUGCCCAGCAUCUCAGUGACUUAAAAACAAAGCUUACUUCUUGUUUGUGCACCAUGUACACCAUGGUUCUGCCUCAGCACAGAGCUCCAGGAGCCGGGGUGAUCAAAGAUCCACCUCAGAAGAGGUUUCCAUGACCACCAGAGCAAGAAAGAAGGUAGAGGCCAGCCACACUCUGGCUCCUGAGGGAUACACCUGAAAGAAAAAAAACUCUUCUACCCAUACUUUCUCAGCCAAAGCAGUUGCAUGCACGCCUCCAAGUCUAAAAGGAUGAGGACUUACAAACCAUCACAGCACAUGCUGCUGGCACCCCACCCAGAUCUCCUGAGAUUCCUCCUGUUGAUUUGGAUGCUGUCCUGCCCACUGCUGUCCCAGGUCCUUCGCUCACGGUCGACCCUGCCAGGCUUCUCUACAACAUCAUCCUUGGGCAACUGGACCUGUCAUGUAAGCAUGUGACAAUCACACUGACACCUCCCUGGGUGGCCAGAGUGCAGUGAUCAGCCUGAACUCUGGUGUAAAAGCCCUUCCGCUCUCCCCAGGUGCAGACGACACCCCACAGCUCACUGAGCAGCUCCGGGUGGAGCUGGAUUCCCCGGAAGCCACACUCUUGCAUGCUCCCGCUCUCCCUCCCCACCCUGCAUCCCUGACACCUGCACUGCUUUCUGCAGACAUCUCUCCCUCGAUAAGCUGCAUGCACACAAAUCCCCAUCUGAGGCUCUGCCCUGAGGGAACUUGGCAUAAAUUACACACUGCACCCUGGAAGAAGAAGAGGGGGGAGUAGAUGGAGCAGGAGGAAGAGGAGGGAAAAAAAUGAGGAGGAGGAGAAAGGAGAAGGGAGAAGAAUGAGGAGGAGCCAGAGGAGAAAUAAAAUCCUUGGGGGCAGCUCUCAUGGCUGUCAUCAUGAGGACAAAUGAACCGAGCAUCACACACUGAGCUCCUCCAGGCAAAACUGGAGACAAAGUCUUACAUUCAAGGAGGUUAUUUGGGAAGUGGUCCCAAGAAAGAGGAGGGAGGGAGAGGGAAAUGAAACCAGGAAGAAGGGAAAGUUAAUACAAGGAUUCACUCUGGUCAGCCGGGGCUCCAUGGCACAAGACCUCUGAGCAGCAGUCAAACGCAUCCCAGGCCGCCAAGGAGGGAGAACAGGGGGAAUUCAUCCUGAGCUCCCAUCCUGCUGCUAAGGUGGCCAUGUGGGUAGCCAUUCCUUCCCGAUUCCUGAUCAUGAAUGCAGAAAUUCCAAUAAAUUCCCACAGACCCUGCAGCUCGGCAUCAGAGAUGCCCUGGGAAAGGGACAAGAGGUGCUAGACCCAGAGCCAGCACUGACUCUGCCUUUGGUGUCCACUGCAGCAGUGGCGGACGCCUACCCACGCCAGUCCUGUCCCUGCCUGAACACCCUGCAGGAGUUCCCCAGCCCGCUGAGGUGUGAAUGCUAGGGUCACAAGCAAUUGUCUUUCGCACCCUUCUUGUUGUCCUUUACCAUUCACAGGUAUAAUUUGUGCAGUUAGAAAACACAAACCACCAACCCAUGCAGGGCUCAGAAGACCCUGGUUCCGGGGAGCUGAGGGCACCCACAGCGCCCUCCGGACGUGAGCUACAGGCCAGGGGAAGAGCCCGCUGCCAGAGGAUGCCCUGAUUUGGCCCCAAGUAUUCCUCAGCUGGAUUUGACCCUCAGCGUUGUAAAGCUUGAGGUUUCCCCAAAGCCUUGCAAAACACCAUCCACCUCCCAGGUGGGACACCUGAAUCUGCAGUCAACAGCAAACCAGUACACCUGGCUUCCGUGCAAGUCCUGGCUCACGCGAGAGAAACAGGAAGAAGGCAUGGUGUGCCUGGCUCGGCUGAGAUGCCUGCACCCUGGCAGCCUUUCCAGGAGCACAAAGGCAGUCAGUCCAGCUCUGAGGCCCCUGCUGCCGCUGCUCUGGCCAUUCAGGAGCCCUUGCAGGCCACGGCCAGAGGAAGAGGCGUCUGCCUCCUUCGAUUUAAAAAAUGAGGACCCCAGAUGCCCACUCCUCAAGCCACUUUAUCAUUUACCCUGAGAAGUGAGCGACACGGUCAAGCCCACCCUGGGACACAGGAAGAGUGUAUGGCAGGUGACAGGCGGCAGCCAGCGGCAGCUUCAGUAGGGACCCGGUUCUUCCCGAGGGCCACCAGACUUUGCCGUCCCAAGUAGAAGCAGCACGGAGGUCUGUUCAGCUCAGCCUUGCCCAGAAAUCCACACCAAGGCCUUCAGCACACCGGGGACAAGACUGACAAUCUCCCUUCUGUGGCAUCCCGUGCAGCCUCAUGCCCUCCUGUGGACAGGACUUGCAGUUAACUGAGAUAAGCCAUGGAUGGUCGGGUUCAGCAUUGGCCCCACUCGGAACCACGGCAGCAUCUCCCAGGAAAUCAAAGUGUCUUGUCCUCUCCGAGCAGCGAGCUCACAUGGCGGGCAGCAGCUGGUCUCUCAGGUCACAGAUGCGGAGUGGACCAAUCGAGGGUUUUGUCUGCAAGACCUGUGUCGGAGUCCUAGCUCUGUGAGUUCAUCACUGAGUGAUGUUAGAGAAGAAGCUUAGCUGUUUUCUCACUAUAAAAUGGAAAUAAGACUUCCCACCCAGCCCCUACUUUUCCUUCUGAUAAAAGACCACGUCUUUUCUCUCCUCAUUGCCCUGCAUGGCAAGAGUCAGACAGUGCAACGGUCAAGCAAGACACAGACUCGCCUUUCUCUUCUUGCUUCUGGAAGCUGGCUUAACCUUCUUAGGCUGAACUGGAAUAACACCCAACAAGUGGGUUGGGUUUUAGUAAUUAGACCACGGCAAGUGGGGCUAUAUCGCACACGUGUUGGGGUCAGAAGAUCAUCUAUAAUUUAGAGAAGCAAUGAAAUACUUGUUGGCGGUUUGGUUUUCCUGUGAGUGAGAAGUCAUGACCUUUUCGACACAUCCGGAAGCGCUGGUGAAGUGCAAAGGUUGGCGCUGUCAGAACUGCACUCUGUCAGUGGCUGCAUACUUUACGUUAUUGCUACGUAACUCAUUCUGUACCAAAUGGACUGGACUGCCGUAAACAAAGUUACCCAGAAGAUGAGGGAUGGUAAUAAAGAUUUCCAUGAACAUCCCAAAUGCACAAAUUUCCAGCCAGCUUGUCUUUAUCUACAUUGAAGUCUCAAAUGGGAAUUUCUGCAAAUUCAUAAUAUUUUGAAAUCUGUCUCUCCUUCAAAACUCAAAAAUAAUCGCUUUGUUUUUAAGAGCUUUUAAAACGGGAUGUUUUCCCCACAGUUUCCAUUGGACACCAUCUAGCCCCUGUGGGACCACCGACUUGCACGUGAGCAGUUCUGGGGAUUUUCUCUGCUCCAGAUUCUCACACACUCUGAGCUGUCUCAAGCGAACAAAGCAGGAUUCGCUCAAGUUUGUCUCUUUCCAACCCGGCAGCGAAUGUUCUUCUGAGAGCCAGGCUUGCCACUGUGCACUUGGCCUGGUGCUGUGCCCGGGGGGCCUGGGCUCCUUUGGAAGGAAGAAAACCUGGGCCAACUGCACGGAAGGGACUCAGUACAGCUAUGACAUAACCACUCAGAGAAGGGAGGGUUGGGAAGGAAUAAAAUGAUGGCUCCCGGUGCCUCAGAGUAGUGGGUGCUGCUUUUUCUUUUUCAAAAGGCACUUUCAAAACACCGUUGGGUUCCACAAGAGACCUCCUGUGACCGUUAAUCUUGAUAUGUCAGCUUCAUUGGAUUAAGAAGUGUCUCGAAGAUUGGCAAAGCACACUGCUGAGUGUUUCUGAGUGGGCCAUGGAGGUGUGGUCCACAUCCGGGCCCUGGGCCUUUCCUCUGGCACUGUUCUCCUGUGGUUUCCAGCCACCAUGCACUGAAGAGCUCUGCUCCACCACACCCUUCCACCAUGAUGCUUCUGCCCUGGAGCCAGCUGAUGGGGCUGAAUUCCCUCAACUGUGAGGAAAUUAAACCUCUUCUCCCAUAUGUUACAAGUGCCAGGUAUUCUGCCCGGCGAUGGGAUCACUGACUAACACACCUUUAAGAGCCUGGGGCCACACUCCAACCACCUAAUGGGUUGUGGGUCCCCAUGUAGACGGGGACAUCCCCUGUCUUCCCUGCAGAGGGCACAGAAUGCUCCUGCCUGGAAGGCCACACAGAGUUGGCCAGUGAAGCUUUUGGGCUUCCAGCUCCUAUAACCCAUCCAGAGGCGAAUGGUGUCACAUUGCUCUCCCUAAUCUAUUUUUAUUCCCCAAGCCUGUUUCUUUGCAUGGACCGUAUAACCAUCUAUGACAAAGAACCCGUGGCCUUUCGUCUAUGUUUAAUGGCUCUAGAAAUGGCAAGGCUGAAGGCAGCUGGGAAGGAUUAGAAUUGGACCGGAAGUCUGUCUGUUGGCAGGAGAGCCACCCAGAUUGAGCGGGGCUCCCAGUGAUCAUGUUACCAAGCGAUGAGUCUUGCCGUGUUCCUGUGUCUCUGUCCGCGGGAAGGCUGACGAGAAUGGAGAGCUGCACGUACCCAGGGUCCCAGCCUCUGCUUUGGAGGCCACACUGUGUGGGCGGAGGUUGGAGGUUCCAACCGAGAAUCCCAGUGGCUACUGUUUAGGAGAUAGGCUUUCUGCACUACACACCAUGCCGAGGUUUUGCGUACAUAGUGUGGCUGCUUUCUCCAGCAGUGCUGUGCGCCACUCUUCUGUUUCAGAGAUGGAGAGCUGCGGUGGGAUCGGCAUCCAAGAGCCAGGCCAGAGCCUGGUUCCCAGGAGGCAGUGGCAGGGCACGCUGUUAGGUUCUCCUCCCCCGACACACAGCCAGGUAGCAGGGGCUGCAGGGCUCCACAGGAUGCCAGGUAGCACUCUACACACAUGGGUGGGGUUCCACCGGCCAGCUCCUACAGACCUCUGCCUGUGGCCUCCUUUGGCCACCUGAGCCCCCUCCACCCGUGUGUGGAGCAGCAGGAAGGACUACAAAAGCAGGGCCCCAGAGGCGCAGCCCUCAAGCAAUGGCCACGAUAGCUCGGAGUGAGUGGUCUUUCGAGGCUUCCUUCCCCCAGAGACAGAAGCUACAGGAUGUUGAGGGUGUGGGCAGAGAGCAGGCUGGCUUCCUGUAGGGAGUUAGCGCACAUGAUGAGGGAGGCUUGGCGAGACCCAAACCUGCAGGCAAAGAGUCAGAGUCUGAGUCCCAGGCAGAGCUCCCUCUUGCUCAGGGGAGGCGGGACUUUUCUAUUCAGGUCUUCGACUCAAGAGAAGGCGACCUGCUGUUCUCCAAGUCCACUGAUUUAAAUUCUAAUCUCAUCCAAAACACAACUUCACAGAAAGCUCUCUCCUUCUAGAAUAACGUCUGAGCAAGCUUCCAGGGCCCGCAGCCCAACCAGGCUGACACCCACUGACCAGCACCGUGUUUUGCACGUCCCCCAGGUCCCUGGCAGGACUGCGCUCUGCACACCACGGUGGUCGGUGACACGUUCUGCGCCCUCCCACCUUCUCCUUCCCCCUCUCGAUUCCCAGAUAAACUUCUUGAUCUUGAAGCCUGGUGCCCAGGUUAGCUUCAAGGGAGACUGAGGUGCAACAAGACCUGUUGCUGCUACCAAGCUCCCAAGAGGGUAAGUUAGAUGUGAAUCCUGCUCUGGUCCUAUGUCCAAACCACCGCCACCACCUGGGUGGCCGCGUGCAGUGAUGAAGUGUGUGGCCACAGCUGUGUGUGUGGCCACAGCUCUGUGUGUGGCCAGAGGGGGCUUCCUGGAGGAGUGGGAGGAGAGGAAGGAGGUGGAACGGGAAUUUUUUACAGUAAAAGACACACUGCCAUGAAUCCUCCUCAAAACACUCCCCCUGACUUCAAACACAUUCAUCCCAUUUUUCUUACCACUUUCUGAAGCAGAUCCGAAGCCUUCUUUCCUGAGUGUCUUUAGUUGUGCUGUUGUGGCUCCUCAAUGUCCCGAAUUGAUUCAAACUAUUUCACUUUCAUUUUGGCUCUGGGGAAGAGCCAGGAGUCACAUGGUGCCAGAUCCAGUGAAUGAGGUGGAUGAGGACACAGUGUCGUGUUUUUACAAGCUGCUUUUCCAUUGGAAGACACUCAGCAGCAGCAUUCACCAUAUUUUUGAUCACACCUCAUGUAGACACCCACAAAAGAGGACUCCAGAGCUGCUUCAGAAAGUGCCAAGAAUGAUGGGAUAUGUGCAUUCAAAGAGGGGGUAGGGGAGGAUUUUGAGGGGGAUUCGUCUCUGCUGUAAGAAAUUCCCUUUAAUUCAAACACUCAUCAUAUUUGCUGAUCACCCCUUGUGUAUCUCAGGGAGGGCGAGGCUGGAGUUCUGCCUGCCGUGGUCCAGGCUUUGAUAACCCAGAUAAAGCCUGCUGACAGAGUGGGUCUGACCCUGUCCCCUCAGGAGACCCCUCUCCCUGGAGACAUGGCUGCCCGCCUAACCCUCAUGGAGGCCCACAGUAGGUGUCGGGCCUCAGGCCAAAGAGCUGGGGAUACCAUACGCUGUGCACAGCCCACCAUGCCAGGGUUGCCCACUCUGUGUUCUUCCAUGUCUGCCGUCUUCCCCCGGGGACCCUCCAUGACAGGCCACCAUGCGUCCGGCUCUCUGCUAUCCGCUGAGCCCUGCACCUGGCCCACACAUCAUGGGGGCCGCAUCUCCACCCCAUCCUGAGCUUGUCCUCCCCUGUGCCUGGCCACCGGUCCCAAGGCUGGACGCCUGGUCUCAGAGGCCUGGACAACGGAGUCCGCCAUGACGACUCCCAGCCUGGAGCAGCAGGAGGAGUGGCUGGGUGACAUUUAAUCACUCAAGACCCUGAAGUAACAGCCCUGCCCAAGCACCCCAUUUCCUGCUGCAGGAGAUGGGUGCUCUGCACUGCUUGUUUCAGAGGUGGGAAGACACACCAGCAGGAAGAAAUCGAUGAAUUGAUGGCCUCCCUCCAGCUCCAAAGGCCCUGAAUCAAUUAAUUUCCGAGGCACAGGGACUGAUACCAAACGGACCCUCAACCAGCUCGAGUUGAACGCAGCAGAUGGUUGGUGGAUGAGCAGGAAGGUGUAUCCCCAAGUUCAAUGGCGAAAUCAGAGAGGACAUCAGAGUCGCCAAGCGGGUCUGGCUCUCCUUCCUCCCUCAGAACCCCUGUCCCUCUCCAAACACAAACAUGCCCUCCCCAGCACCCAGCUCACAGGGCAGUGGAGAGGCCAACAAAAAUCAAGACACAAAAAGACUUUUAAGGAAAGAAAAUAAGGAGGAAUAGAGGGGUUGAAAGGAGAGGAGAGGAAUGAGAAAAAAAGAAGCAAAAUACAUCAUGUACAGGUACAAAUUCUCUAUGAUGAAUGUUAUCAUUAUGUAUAUCUGAAAUGUAUCAUUAUGUAUAUCUGAAAUGUAUCAUUAUGUAUAUCUGAAAAGAAUAAAAAGGAAAAAAAGAAAUUGUAAGUAAAAAAGAACGUCCUCUGCUAGAAUGUGUGCUCAAAUAACCAAAUCAAACUCAUUUAUUAUCUGCCUCUCCGUCUGUUCUUAAUAGAAAGCAGUUUCACACAUUCCUAUGGAAACAACAUAGUUAACCCUAAGUUGAAGUUAAAAAAAGGAAAAAUUUUCCAUACAAAUAUAAAAUAUCUAUGUAUUGGGAAAAAAAUCAAGAAGCAACUGUUCAGGUUCUGCCAAGCCCCACAUGUAUACAGCACUGGUUGCCCUGCAGACUCGGGGUGAACUGCUCUGUGGGCCUCACUUUGCAAGGCCCCAGAACAAUGAUAGGAUGGGUAUGCAUGACCAGAUUGGUCCUCAUGGGUAUCCAUACUUCAGGGCUUGUUCAUUGACCAGACUGGUCCUCACCAGUAUCCAUAUUUAUGACUGGUCCAUUGACCAAAUUGGUCCUCAUGGGUAUCUAUCUGUACUUCAGGACUAGUCCACUGACAUUAGACUUCUGCAUCCCUAGAGAGACAUGUGUGAAAGUGCCCAUGUGGGAAAGUGGCAGAAAAAGUCAUAAAGCAUGAUAGCUUGUUCCCUGGCACUGUGCUCAGGACUCUGCAAUUCCUGUUUUAGGACAGACACUGCCACCUCCCUGCCUGAAGAUGUCCCAUCCAUUGGUGAGGGGCCUUGCAUGAGGUGUUGUAGACUCGCUGAGGGACAGCGAGAGGCCACAAGCAGGAGAGAGACCUCCCUCCAGCACAAACGCAGUCAGAUACUGGGUCACCUUGGUCGGAGAUUUAGGAGGGAAGGAGGCUGGGCACUGUGACGUCAUCAUACUCUUACACAAGAAUGCACACAAGAUGGUCAGGCUGGUGACUGGCACUCUUGUGCCUUCUUCCCUCCUCUCCGUGUUAGUCUGCCUUUCUGGUGACUUUGAUAGGGCCCCUCCUGGUGUCACCUCAGACUUGGUUACCUACCUCUACAUCCCCAAGCAGGAAUCCAGUCGACUCUGGGAUCCUUCCAAAUCAGGUCACUUAGGCCUUUGACUAGCGUAGAGCUGGACUUCACAAGGGCCACCCAGCAACAGCAGAGAGGUGGCAUAGGAUGGACCAGAACAGGGCAGACACUCACUGUCCCUUGGCCAGGAAUCAAGGCAGCCUUCCCCUUACAGGAAGGAGGGACAGGAAAACCCAAGGCCCAGUGAGGACACGAACCUCGCUGUGUACAUGUAGCAGACUCCCUGGAGGAGAACGGGUCUGCUAGGUUCUUCUUUAUGGUCAGGUUAUCAUCCCUGGGAGAAGGUAAUGAAAACUAACUAUCUUAUUUCCAACUGAAAAGUGCUUUUACGUGUUUUCUUUUGGGUACCAGGGAUCGAACUCGGGUCCUUGCACUUAUAGAGCAGGCAUCGGAACCACUGAGCUAAAUCCCUGGCCCAUGUUUUCUCUUUUUGAAAGAAGGCCAGCUUGAUGUGCUUAUUUUGAGAACCUUUGAAAUCUAGGACUAGGGCUUCAGCAAAGCUCUUUUUUCCCUUUUCCUGUAGCCAAAUGUGCAGCAGGUGUAGCGGGGAGGAAGAGGCCAGGUGGGCACAGACAAAGCCCCCCGGACCUGUUCCAGAAACAGACAUCAGCCCCUCCACCUCUGAGGCACCACAGCUGUGCCUGUCACAGCACACACAGCCACUGCAGCAACGCCCUUCAUGGAUCUGUCUAGAGCACGGUCACCUCCUUGUCAGAUCAGAUGAGCUCUUUAUAUAUUACUGAGAUUUGCCUUUAUCUGCACUGCAAAUAUUUCCCCAAGCUGUCUCUUAUCUAUUAGGUGUUGUAGGAUUUUACCAUAUAAAUGUUUUAUUUUUCCACAUAAUCAGAUUUUUCUCUUGCUGCUUCUGAGAGUCUCCUCUUGGUUGCUGGUGAUGUGAACAAACACUUCUUACCUCCUAACACUUGGCAGAUCGUGCUUAAUGCCACACAUUUGAAAAAGUCUGCCUUGAAUCUGGUCAUUUGAAUAUCCCUCCUCCAAUUAGAACCACAUGAUGUCUCCCAAUUUUAAUCCCAGUAAAAGUCAAACUUCUUAGGCCACCGUAAGUCACACAGUGGAAAGGCACUCACAAACCCUUUGAUACUCCUCCCAUCUGGGAGGGGGAGGCGUCUCCUCCUUCACAUGAACUUGAUGACUUACUUCUCAUGAACGUAACGAGGUGAAGGUAUUGACAGGUCGCUGCCCAGGACUGGUGUGGCUCAGGCUUGUUCCCCAGAGACUCCCGUGCUGCAGGCUUGGUCCUCAGUGUGGUCAUCAGCCCUGUAAGAGGUGGCGCCUCGGUGGCAGUGGGAAGAUCAUUGGGGGCCGUGCCAUCCAAAGGAAUUCUAGGAACCAGCCUCCCUCUGUCUUCCUGACUUGAGUUGGGAUUCCUCAUCCCAACACUGCUGUCCUCCAUGAGGUGAUGCUACCAAGAGGGGCUGUGCAAGAACCUAGGGAAUGCUACUUGGGUUUCCAGCCACCACACUGUGA